rnacentral:rRNA from 1 species
GGGCCCGCACAAGCGGUGGAGCAUGUGGUUUAAUUCGAUGGUACGCGAGGAACCUUACCUAGGCUUAAAUGUAGAUUGACGUAUUGGGAAACCAGUAUUUCUUCGGACAAUUUACAAGGUGCUGCAUGGUUGUCGUCAGCUCGUGCUGUGAAGUGUCGGGUUAAGUCCCAUAACGAGCGCAACCCCUAUCAUUAGUUGCUAACAUUUAGUUGAGGACUCUAGUGAAACUGCCCGCGUAAGCGUGGAGGAAGGUGGGGAUGACGUCAAAUCAUCACGGCCCUUACGUCUAGGGCUACACACGUGCUACAAUGGUGAAUACAGAGGGAAGCCAACUGGUAACAGUGAGCAGAUCCACAAAAUUCAUCUCAGUUCGGAUUGAGGUCUGCAACUCGACCUCAUGAAGCUGGAAUCGCUAGUAAUCGUAUAUC